GACGAACGCUGGCGGCGUGCCUAACACAUGCAAGUCGAACGGAAAGACCCUGCUUUUGCGGGGUUCUCGAGUGGCGAACGGGUGAGUAACACGUGAGUAACCUGCCCCUGACUUUGGGAUAACAUCAGGAAACUGCGGCUAAUACCGGAUAGGAGCUCCUGCAGCAUGGUGGUGGUUGGUAAGUUUCGGCGGUUGGGGCUGGACUCGCGGCUUAUCAGCUUGUUGGUGGAGUAGUGGUGUACCAAGGCUUUGACGGGUAGCCGGCCUGAGAGGGUUGCCGGCGACAUUGGUACUACGGUACGGAGCAGACUCCUACGUGCGGCAGCAGUGGGAAAUAUUACGCAAUAGGGGCAAGCGUGAUGCAGCGGCGCCGCGUGCGGGAUGACGGCUUUCUGGGUGUAAAUCGCUGUCGCAGGAAACGAAGAGUGAGUGACGGUAACGGGUAAAGAAGCACCGGCUAACUACGUG
rnacentral:rRNA from 1 species